GGUUAAGCGACUAAGCGUACACGGUGGAUGCCCUGGCAGUCAGAGGCGAUGAAGGACGUGCUAAUCUGCGAUAAGCGUCGGUGAGGUGAUAUGAACCGUUAUAACCGGCGAUUUCCGAAUGGGGAAACCCAGUGUGUUUCGACACACUAUCAUUAACUGAAUCCAUAGGUUAAUGAGGCGAACCGGGGGAACUGAAACAUCUAAGUACCCCGAGGAAAAGAAAUCAACCGAGAUUCCCCCAGUAGCGGCGAGCGAACGGGGAGGAGCCCAGAGCCUGAAUCAGUGUGUGUGUUAGUGGAAGCGUCUGGAAAGGCGCGCGAUACAGGGUGACAGCCCCGUACACAAAAAUGCACAUAUUGUGAGCUCGAUGAGUAGGGCGGGACACGUGGUAUCCUGUCUGAAUAUGGGGGGACCAUCCUCCAAGGCUAAAUACUCCUGACUGACCGAUAGUGAACCAGUACCGUGAGGGAAAGGCGAAAAGAACCCCGGCGAGGGGAGUGAAAAAGAACCUGAAACCGUGUACGUACAAGCAGUGGGAGCCUCUUAAUGGGGUGACUGCGUACCUUUUGUAUAAUGGGUCAGCGACUUAUAUUCUGUAGCAAGGUUAACCGAAUAGGGGAGCCGAAGGGAAACCGAGUCUUAACUGGGCGUUAAGUUGCAGGGUAUAGACCCGAAACCCGGUGAUCUAGCCAUGGGCAGGUUGAAGGUUGGGUAACACUAACUGGAGGACCGAACCGACUAAUGUUGAAAAAUUAGCGGAUGACUUGUGGCUGGGGGUGAAAGGCCAAUCAAACCGGGAGAUAGCUGGUUCUCCCCGAAAGCUAUUUAGGUAGCGCCUCGUGAAUUCAUCUCCGGGGGUAGAGCACUGUUUCGGCAAGGGGGUCAUCCCGACUUACCAACCCGAUGCAAACUGCGAAUACCGGAGAAUGUUAUCACGGGAGACACACGGCGGGUGCUAACGUCCGUCGUGAAGAGGGAAACAACCCAGACCGCCAGCUAAGGUCCCAAAGUCAUGGUUAAGUGGGAAACGAUGUGGGAAGGCCCAGACAGCCAGGAUGUUGGCUUAGAAGCAGCCAUCAUUUAAAGAAAGCGUAAUAGCUCACUGGUCGAGUCGGCCUGCGCGGAAGAUGUAACGGGGCUAAACCAUGCACCGAAGCUGCGGCAGCGACGCUUAUGCGUUGUUGGGUAGGGGAGCGUUCUGUAAGCCUGUGAAGGUGUGCUGUGAGGCAUGCUGGAGGUAUCAGAAGUGCGAAUGCUGAC
rnacentral:rRNA from 1 species